rnacentral:rRNA from 1 species
CGUAGGUGCGAGCGUUGUCCGGAAUUAUUGGGCGUAAAGGGCUCGUAGGCGGUUUGUCGCGUCGGGAGUGAAACACCGGGCUUAACUCGGUGCCUGCUUUCGAUACGGGCAGACUAGAGGUAUGCAGGGGAGAACGGAAUUCCUGGUGUAGCGGUGAAAUGCGCAGAUAUCAGGAGGAACACCGGUGGCGAAGGCGGUUCUCUGGGCAUUACCUGACGCUGAGGAGCGAAAGUGUGGGGAGCGAACAGGAUU